rnacentral:ribozyme from 13 species
AGGAGAAGAAGGUUCUUUUUUUGAUUCACCUUCCUCUUUCUCUUCCUCUUUCUCUUUCUUUUUCUCUUUCUCGUCAUCGUCUCCAAAAAGAAGAGAGACUGGGGGAGGAGCUCCUUUAGAAAGAAGGAA